UGGGGAAUAUUGGACAAUGGACCGAGAGUCUGAUCCAGCAAUUCUGUGUGCACGAUGAAGUUUUUCGGAAUGUAAAGUGCUUUCAGUUGGGAAGAAAAAAAUGACGGUACCAACAGAAGAAGUGACGGCUAAAUACGUGCCAGCAGCCGCGGUAAUACGUAUGUCACGAGCGUUAUCCGGAUUUAUUGGACGUAAAGCGCGUCUAGGUGGUUAUGUAAGUCUGAUGUGAAAAUGCAGGGCUCAACUCUGUAUUGCGUUGGAAACUGUAUAACUAGAGUACUGGAGAGGUAAGCGGAACUACAAGUGUAGAGGUGAAAUUCGUAGAUAUUUGUAGGAAUGCCGAUGGGGAAGCCAGCUUACUGGACAGAUACUGACGCUAAAGCGCGAAAGCGUGGGUAGCAAACAGGAUUAGAUACCCUGGUAGUCCACGCUGUAAACGAUGAUUACUAGGUGUUGGGGGUCGAACCUCAGCGCCCAAGCAAACGCGAUAAGUAAUCCGCCUGGGGAGUACGUACGCAAGUAU
rnacentral:rRNA from 1 species